rnacentral:rRNA from 1 species
UGGGUUGUAAAAUUCCUUUUAGUGUAGGGAACGUAAACCACUUUUUUCGUAAGAGUGUUGACGGUACCAUAGGAAUAAGCCACCGGCUAACUCCGUGC